CCAGAUAACUCUAUAGCGCGCCCGCGCCCGUAUUGCACUAUAAUCUUGCGCGGCCGCGCGAGUCUUCUUUAGUUAAUUUUGCUGACUUUUUUGUAAUUUGAAUUUGAGCGUGUUUUUCUCAACUGAGACGAUAUGGUUGGCACCAGAUGUGGUUUUUGAAUUAUUAUCAUUAUUGUUCUUAGGUUUUAGCUACUCUAGAGAGGGUUUGAGCAUUUGAUGAUACAUUUAACUCCUCUCUUUAUCUAGAUUAUUCAAUAAUUAUAGUUUACAAUUUCUGGAGAUUUUGGUGAUUUAGAACAAACUUGGAACAGAAUUUGCAAC
rnacentral:lncRNA from 1 species